CUACAUACUUUUUCUUUCCAGACAAGUUCAGAUACCCUCCCAGGAUCUGACUAUAUACAGAAUGUCUUCAACAAGCACCAUCAGACAUGGAAGAGCAAGGACCAAGUUUGCUCAGAAGUUGUUUGGGGUUCUGAAGAGAUUAGAAGAGACUGAGAGGCCAGAAAUGCCAGACACAAAUGAAUGAUACAGAGUAAUUUUAAAAAAGGAGGAUUCACCCAUAGCACCGUAAUGAUUCAUUGGUCCUUUCCCACCUCUCCUCCACCUUCAUACAUGAACACGUGUGUGCACACGGGCUGUGAUACGAGUAAUGCUAAGACUGAUCAUGCUGUUCCCAAAUCCCAUGUACUGUUCAGGCAAGCCUUCAAUUCUCCAUGCUGGGAAGAGUGUGGGAUUAAACAGAGACAAGAUGGAGGGAGGAGGUGGGGAGAAAAGCUAGAGUGCAGCUGUGGAAAUUGGCAGGGAAGCAAGCGUAGGUUGGUCUUCCAAGGGGUUCGAGAUUCUUGUGUUUGUGAAUCUUAGGCAGGACUGCUGCACGACGCUGAUUGCAUGGAAGCCGGCCAUGCCACCUCCCUACUGCUCCUCCCGUGACACAUCUGCCGAGGCUGAGCCACCACCCUGCACCCACAGCAGGUGACAAUGUGUUGGCCAUUGUGACCUGUUGGAAACACUUGCAAACUCCCUGGAGCAGUGUGGGAGGGGAAGGAAAGGACAGUCUCUCUCAUCAUACAGUCCAGGGUGUGCACAACAAAACCCACCAUAGACCAGUCACUCCAUGUCUAGAAUCCUCCUCAUCUAGAAGGCCAAUAAAGCAUCGCAAGCCA